AGAGUUUGAUCCUGGCUCAGAUUGAACGCUGGCGGAAUGCUUUACACAUGCAAGUCGAGCGGCAGCGCGGGGCAACCUGGCGGCGAGCGGCGAACGGGUGAGUAAUGCAUCGGAACAUGUCCAUGUCGUGGGGGAUAGCCCGGCGAAAGCCGGAUUAAUACCGCAUAAGCCCGAGAGGGGAAAGCAGGGGACCGCAAGGCCUUGCGCGAUUGGGUUGGCCGAUGUCCGAUUAGCUUGUUGGUGAGGUAAAGGCUUACCAAGGCGAUGAUCGGUAGCUGGUCUGAGAGGAUGAUCAGCCACACUGGGACUGAGACACGGCCCAGACUCCUACGGGAGGCAGCAGUGGGGAAUUUUGGACAAUGGGGGCAACCCUGAUCCAGCCAUUCCGCGUGAGUGAAGAAGGCCUUCGGGUUGUAAAGCUCUUUUGUCCGGAGCGAAACGGUGGCGGUGAAUAUCCGCCACUACUGACGUACCGGAAGAA
rnacentral:rRNA from 1 species